GGUCUGGCCGGGCGGUCCACCUUCCGGUGAGCACUGUUCCGACGCCGGGACCUAUCCUUCUGGUGAGACGGCAUGCCCUUCGCUGGGUGAGUCGGGGAACCAGGACCAUUACCUUGAAAAAAUUAGAGUGUUCAAAGCAGGCAUUUGCUCGAAUACAUUAGCAUGGAAUAAUAAAAUAGGACGCGUGGUACUAUUUUGUUGGUUUCUAGGACCGCCGUA
rnacentral:rRNA from 1 species